rnacentral:lncRNA from 1 species
CUCAGUCGUGAAGCUGGAGAGCUAAGAAGGCCGAGCAGACUUCAAGGGAUUAUUAGGUUGUCUAAUAAAGAGAAAUGGCACCAGAUUGGAAGACAGAAGUCAGGCUGAGGCCUUGUUCCUGCUUAUGUUUUUUAUAGAAAACGAGAUCAUAAAGGGGUUGUGUUCCCUUUCUAGCUGGUUGCAGUAGGGAAAGCCAAAGUAACUGCAAAAACCAGAUUCUGAAGAUGCCAUGAUAUCUGACUUCUUGAAUAUCCAGUUGAUGACAAAGAACUGCCCUGUCCUGCUAUCUUUUCCGCUCACUCUGAACUAUUAUUUAAAUAAGAAAUAAACUCCCUUAUGUUUGAG